rnacentral:rRNA from 1 species
GUCUACCGCCAUACCGCCCUGAACAUGCUCCAUCUUGUCUGCUCCCAAAAGCUAAGCAAAGUCGGUCCUGCAUGGAUGGGAGAAUACCACCCCACCCUGGGGGAAAUACCAGGUGCUGUAGGUU